rnacentral:rRNA from 1 species
UACAGAGGUCCCAAGCGUUGUUCGGAUUCAUUGGGCGUAAAGGGUGCGUAGGCGGUGGGGUAAGUUGGAUGUGAAAUCUUGGGGCUUAACCUCAAAAUUGCAUUCAAUACUGCUCCGCUCGAGUUCUGUAGAGGAGAUUGGAAUUUACGGUGUAGCAGUGAAAUGCGUAGAUAUCGUAAGGAACGCCAGUGGCGAAAGCGAAUCUCUGGGCAGCAACUGACGCUGAGGCACGAAGGCCAGGAGAGCAAACGGG